rnacentral:sRNA from 1 species
CACCGCCUGGGGAGUACGACCGCAAGGUUAAAACUCAAAUGAAUUGACGGGGACCCGCACAAGUAGUGGAGCAUGUGGUUUAAUUCGAAGAUACGCGCAGAACCUUACCAACACUUGACAUGUUCGUCGCGACUUUAAGAGAUUAAAGUUUUCGGUUCGGCCGGACGAAACACAGGUGCUGCAUGGCUGUCGUCAGCUCGUGUCGUGAGAUGUUGGGUUAAGUCCCGCAACGAGCGCAACCCUCACUUUUAGUUGCCAUCAUUUAGUUGGGCACUCUGAAAGAACUGCCAGUGAUAAGCUGGAGGAAGGUGGGGAUGACGUCAAGUCCUCAUGGCCCUUACGUGUUGGGCUACACACGUGCUACAAUGGUAUCUACAACAGGAAGCAAGACGGCGACGUUAAGCAAAUCCUCAAAAGAUACCUCAGUUCGGAUUGCACUCUGCAACUCGAGUGCAUGAAGCUGGAAUUACUAGUAAUCGUGGAUCAGCGUGCCACGGUGAAUGCGUUCCCGGGUCUUGUACACACCGCCCGUCACACCAUGGGAGUUGGUUCUACCUUAAGGCAAGGUUUAAAACCCUUGACCACGGUAUAGUCAGCGACUGGGGUGAAGUCGUAACAAGGUAGCCGUAGGGGAACCUGCGGCUGGAUUACCUCCUUUCUAAGGAUGAGUGAAAGUAAAAUUUCAUUCUAAAUAAUAUACAGGUAAUGUUGACCGUCCUCAUUUCUCUUCUUGAAUUAGUGUUUCUCUUGCAUGGGGGCCGGUAGCUCAGUUGGUUAGAGCACACCCUUGAUAAGGGUGGGGUCGAAAGUUCGAGUCUUUCUCGGCCCACCAAUUAUAGUCAUGGGGGAUUAGCUCAGCUGGGAGAGCGCCUGAUUUGCAUUCAGGAGGUCAGCGGUUCGAUCCCGCUAUCCUCCACCAAACACUUAGUUGUUUUAAAUCGUAAAUAAAUUAAAUAAUUAAUAUCAAUAUCUAUAUCCGAACAUUAGAAAUGUUAUUAGCUAAUGUUCAAAUAAAAAUUUGAUUCAACACAGAAUUUUUUUCUG